CGUGAGUGGCGGACGGGUGAGUAGCGCGUGGGUAACCUGCCUCAUACAGGGGGAUAACAGUUAGAAAUGACUGCUAAUACCGCAUAAGACCACAGUACCGCAUGGUACAGGGGUAAAAACUCCGGUGGUAUGAGAUGGACCCGCGUCUGAUUAGGUAGUUGGUGGGGUAACGGCCUACCAAGCCGACGAUCAGUAGCCGACCUGAGAGGGUGACCGGCCACAUUGGGACUGAGACACGGCCCAA
rnacentral:rRNA from 1 species